rnacentral:rRNA from 1 species
GGUUAAGCGACUAAGCGUACACGGUGGAUGCCCUGGCAGUCAGAGGCGAUGAAGGACGUGCUAAUCUGCGAUAAGCGUCGGUAAGGUGAUAUGAACCGUUAUAACCGGCGAUUUCCGAAUGGGGAAACCCAGUGUGAUUCGUCACACUAUCAUUAACUGAAUCCAUAGGUUAAUGAGGCGAACCGGGGGAACUGAAACAUCUAAGUACCCCGAGGAAAAGAAAUCAACCGAGAUUCCCCCAGUAGCGGCGAGCGAACGGGGAGCAGCCCAGAGCCUGAAUCAGUGUGUGUGUUAGUGGAAGCGUCUGGAAAGGCGUGCGAUACAGGGUGACAGCCCCGUACACAAAAAUGCACAUGCUGUGAGCUCGAUGAGUAGGGCGGGACACGUGGUAUCCUGUCUGAAUAUGGGGGGACCAUCCUCCAAGGCUAAAUACUCCUGACUGACCGAUAGUGAACCAGUACCGUGAGGGAAAGGCGAAAAGAACCCCGGCGAGGGGAGUGAAAAAGAACCUGAAACCGUGUACGUACAAGCAGUGGGAGCACAGAGCAAUCUGUGUGACUGCGUACCUUUUGUAUAAUGGGUCAGCGACUUAUAUUCUGUAGCAAGGUUAACCGAAUAGGGGAGCCGAAGGGAAACCGAGUCUUAACUGGGCGUUAAGUUGCAGGGUAUAGACCCGAAACCCGGUGAUCUAGCCAUGGGCAGGUUGAAGGUUGGGUAACACUAACUGGAGGACCGAACCGACUAAUGUUGAAAAAUUAGCGGAUGACUUGUGGCUGGGGGUGAAAGGCCAAUCAAACCGGGAGAUAGCUGGUUCUCCCCGAAAGCUAUUUAGGUAGCGCCUCGUGAAUUCAUCUCCGGGGGUAGAGCACUGUUUCGGCAAGGGGGUCAUCCCGACUUACCAACCCGAUGCAAACUGCGAAUACCGGAGAAUGUUAUCACGGGAGACACACGGCGGGUGCUAACGUCCGUCGUGAAGAGGGAAACAACCCAGACCGCCAGCUAAGGUCCCAAAGUCAUGGUUAAGUGGGAAACGAUGUGGGAAGGCCCAGACAGCCAGGAUGUUGGCUUAGAAGCAGCCAUCAUUUAAAGAAAGCGUAAUAGCUCACUGGUCGAGUCGGCCUGCGCGGAAGAUGUAACGGGGCUAAACCAUGCACCGAAGCUGCGGCAGCGACGCUGAUGCGUUGUUGGGUAGGGGAGCGUUCUGUAAGCCUGUGAAGGUGUACUGUGAGGUAUGCUGGAGGUAUCAGAAGUGCGAAUGCUGACAUAAGUAACGAUAAAGCGGGUGAAAAGCCCGCUCGCCGGAAGACCAAGGGUUCCUGUCCAACGUUAAUCGGGGCAGGGUGAGUCGACCCCUAAGGCGAGGCCGAAAGGCGUAGUCGAUGGGAAACAGGUUAAUAUUCCUGUACUUGGUGUUACUGCGAAGGGGGGACGGAGAAGGCUAUGUUGGCCGGGCGACGGUUGUCCCGGUUUAAGCGUGUAGGCUGGUUUUCCAGGCAAAUCCGGAAAAUCAAGGCUGAGGCGUGAUGACGAGGCACUACGGUGCUGAAGCAACAAAUGCCCUGCUUCCAGGAAAAGCCUCUAAGCAUCAGGUAACAUCAAAUCGUACCCCAAACCGACACAGGUGGUCAGGUAGAGAAUACCAAGGCGCUUGAGAGAACUCGGGUGAAGGAACUAGGCAAAAUGGUGCCGUAACUUCGGGAGAAGGCACGCUGAUAUGUAGGUGAAGUCCCUCGCGGAUGGAGCUGAAAUCAGUCGAAGAUACCAGCUGGCUGCAACUGUUUAUUAAAAACACAGCACUGUGCAAACACGAAAGUGGACGUAUACGGUGUGACGCCUGCCCGGUGCCGGAAGGUUAAUUGAUGGGGUCAGCGCAAGCGAAGCUCUUGAUCGAAGCCCCGGUAAACGGCGGCCGUAACUAUAACGGUCCUAAGGUAGCGAAAUUCCUUGUCGGGUAAGUUCCGACCUGCACGAAUGGCGUAAUGAUGGCCAGGCUGUCUCCACCCGAGACUCAGUGAAAUUGAACUCGCUGUGAAGAUGCAGUGUACCCGCGGCAAGACGGAAAGACCCCGUGAACCUUUACUAUAGCUUGACACUGAACAUUGAGCCUUGAUGUGUAGGAUAGGUGGGAGGCUUGGAAGUGUGGACGCCAGUCUGCAUGGAGCCGACCUUGAAAUACCACCCUUUAAUGUUUGAUGUUCUAACGUUGACCCGUAAUCCGGGUUGCGGACAGUGUCUGGUGGGUAGUUUGACUGGGGCGGUCUCCUCCUAAAGAGUAACGGAGGAGCACGAAGGUUGGCUAAUCCUGGUCGGACAUCAGGAGGUUAGUGCAAUGGCAUAAGCCAGCUUGACUGCGAGCGUGACGGCGCGAGCAGGUGCGAAAGCAGGUCAUAGUGAUCCGGUGGUUCUGAAUGGAAGGGCCAUCGCUCAACGGAUAAAAGGUACUCCGGGGAUAACAGGCUGAUACCGCCCAAGAGUUCAUAUCGACGGCGGUGUUUGGCACCUCGAUGUCGGCUCAUCACAUCCUGGGGCUGAAGUAGGUCCCAAGGGUAUGGCUGUUCGCCAUUUAAAGUGGUACGCGAGCUGGGUUUAGAACGUCGUGAGACAGUUCGGUCCCUAUCUGCCGUGGGCGCUGGAGAACUGAGGGGGGCUGCUCCUAGUACGAGAGGACCGGAGUGGACGCAUCACUGGUGUUCGGGUUGUCAUGCCAAUGGCACUGCCCGGUAGCUAAAUGCGGAAGAGAUAAGUGCUGAAAGCAUCUAAGCACGAAACUUGCCCCGAGAUGAGUUCUCCCUGACUCCUUGAGAGUCCUGAAGGAACGUUGAAGACGACGACGUUGAUAGGCCGGGUGUGUAAGCGCAGCGAUGCGUUGAGCUAACCGGUACUAAUGAACCGUGAGGCUUAACCUU